rfam:Gorilla gorilla gorilla genomic chromosome, chr6, whole genome shotgun sequence
GUCUGCAGGCAUAUCACUCUAAAUACACCUGAUCUCAUUUGAUCUCAGAAGCUAAGCAGGGUCAGGUCUGGUUAGUACUUGGGUGGGAGAAACACUCUCUAAACUAUGCUUCCUACUUUCG